AAGUCGUAACAAGGUUUCCGUAGGUGAACCUGCGGAAGGAUCAUUACAAGGUUUCUUAGUGACAUCUCGAAAGAGAUCCCUCCCAAGUAUCCCACCCGUGUCUAUAUACUCUUUGUUGCUUUGGGCGGGGCGUGGCCUCCACUGCGGGCUCUGCUCGUACGUACCCGCCAGAGGACCAAACUCUGAAUGUUAGUGAUGUCUGAUGUACUAUAUAAUAGUUAAAA
rnacentral:misc_RNA from 1 species